UUGAAAAUUCAUUUCCUCCACUUUUUUCUAAUAUUUCACAUGCACAAUUAUUAUAAUUUUGACCUUGAUAAUUUUAAGACAUGAGGAAAAAGUUUUCUAAAAACAAAUUUGUAACAGUACCUAUUGUCUCGGAGUUGGCUGCGAUCCCGGAGAGAAGAAGGACGAUGAGUAGCGGCUCCAUCGGUUGUUGGAAAAGGACUGAACUGGAAGCCCGACGGGGUUGUUACAGGGGUUGUACGCCGGGGGUGGAGGCGUGACUCCCCCUCCAGACACCCUUUUCCUUGUCCAGACCUUCCCGUCUGUAUUUUUAGGUCUGAUUGUCCUCAUUGGAUAUUACUAUUCAAUAAAAUAAUUAAGGAUAGUCAAUUAAAUUUCACGGGGCUCAAAUUCACUCGAUUUUCUAGAUAUUAUUAACAACGGGAAAAUUUAUUUGGUCUUUUUUCGACUGAUAAAAAUGUUUAACCUUCUUUUGACUCGAAAUACUCAAAAGGAUUUUUCUGUUUAUUUGAACCUUUUCCUGUUCUAAUACACGACAUAAGAGGCGAAAGAGAAUUUUAUUUUUCACACGUAUAAUCAGCCCCUUAGGAAGAAUUCCUUUUAUGUUCAUCCAGCCUCAUGUUAUAACCCAGGUUUAUAAUCAAAUUCGCAAUAAAAACAUACUUCAUUUGUACUGGGUUUGGCGCUGAUUAGCACUGUUUAACUUUCUCGAAAGGAAAUAAUUUGAAAAUGUCAUUCGUCCACCCAGUCUCGCUACAUGUUUCGCUGUAUUGCCUCACAGUAGGACAGACAAUUUCUUUCGCAAACUUCGAACAAACAGAUUAACAGUACACCUAAUAUAAAAACCGAUGAGACAGAAUGGAAUGAACGAAGAAGACUAAUCAAUACAUCGUAUCGAAGGCCUCAAAA